UACGUAGGGGGCUAGCGUUGUCCGGAAUCAUUGGGCGUAAAGCGCGUGUAGGCGGUCCGGUAAGUCCGCUGUGAAAGUCGAGGGCUCAACCCUCGAAUGCCGGUGGAUACUGUCGGGCUUGAGUACGGGAGAGGCGAGUGGAAUUCCUGGUGUAGCGGUGGAAUGCGCAGAUAUCAGGAGGAACACCAAUAGCGAAGGCAGCUCGCUGGGACGUUACUGACACUGAGGCGCGAAAGCGUGGGGAGCGAACAGG
rnacentral:rRNA from 1 species